GCGGAUGUGGCGGAAUUGGCAGACGCGCUAGGUUCAGGUCCUAGUGUCCCCUAAAGGACGUGGAGGUUCAAAUCCUCUCAUCCGCA
rnacentral:tRNA from 1 species